rnacentral:rRNA from 1 species
UGCGUAGGCGGCGUAAUAAGUCAGAGGUGAAAGACUGCGGCUAAACCGUAGAAUUGCCUUUGAUACUGUUAUGCUUGAAUGUGGUGGAGGUGAGCGGAAUGUGUCAUGUAGCGGUGAAAUGCAUAGAUAUGACAUAGAACACCAAUUGCGAAGGCAGCUCACUACGCCAUUAUUGACGCUGAGUCACGAAAGCGUGGGUAGCGAACAGGAUUAGAUACCCUGGUAGUCC